UGUCACAACGGCUUCCUGACGUGGCAAAUUCUUUCAAACUGGAGCA
rnacentral:ncRNA from 1 species